CGUGUUGAGGUCAAGGGGACGUGUUGAGGUCAUGGGGACGUGUUGAGGUCAUGGGGACGUGUUGAGGUCAUGGGGACGUGUUGAGGUCAUGGGGACGUGUUGAGGUCAUGGGGACGUGUUGAGGUCAUGGGGACGUGUUGAGGUCAUGGGGACGUGUUGAGGUCAUGGGGACGUGUUGAGGUCAUGGGGACGUGUUGAGGUCAUGGGGACGUGUUGAGGUCAUGGGGACGUGUUGAGGUCAAGGGGACGUGUUGAGAUCAAGGGGACGUGUUGAGAUCAAGGGGACGUGUUGAGAUCAAGGGGACGUGUUGAGAUCAAGGGGACGUGGUGAGAUCAAGGGGACGUGUUGAGAUCAAGGGGACGUGUUGAGAUCAAGGGGACGUGUUGAGAUCAAGGGGACGUGUUGAGAUCAAGGGGACGUGGUGAGAUCAAGGGGACGUGUUGAGAUCAAGGGGACGUGUUGAGAUCAAGGGGACGUGUUGAGGUCAAGGGGACGUGUUGAGGUCAAGGGGACGUGUUGAGGUCAAGGGGACGUGUUGAGAUCAAGGGGACGUGUUGAGAUCAUGGGGACGUGUUGAGGUCAAGGGGACGUGUUGAGGUCAUGGGGACGUGUUGAGGUCAAGGGGACGUGUUGAGGUCAUGGGGACGUGGUGAGAUCAUGGGGACGUGUUGAGAUCAUGGGGACGUGUUGAGGUCAAGGGGACGUGUUGAGGUCAUGGGGACGUGUUGAGGUCAUGGGGACGUGUUGAGGUCAUGGGGACGUGUUGAGGUCAUGGGGACGUGUUGAGGUCAUGGGGACGUGUUGAGGUCAUGGGGACGUGUUGAGGUCAUGGGGACGUGUUGAGGUCAUGGGGACGUGGUGAGAUCAUGGGGACGUGUUGAGGUCAUGGGGAUGUGUUGAGGUCAUGGGGACGUGUUGAGGUCAUGGGGAUGUGUUGAGGUCAUGGGGACGUGUUGAGGUCAUGGGGACGUGUUGAGGUCAUGGGGAUGUGUUGAGAUCAAGGGGACGUGUUGAGGUCAAGGGGACGUGUUGAGAUCAAGGGGACGUGUUGAGGUCAAGGGGACGUGUUGAGGUCAAGGGGACGUGUUGAGGUCAAGGGGACGUGUUGAGGUCAAGGGGACGUGGUGAGGUCAAGGGGACGUGUUGAGGUCAUGGGGACGUGUUGAGGCAACAUGACUUAAACCAUCAACGGUUGCAGUCCAGACAGAACAAGUAGGACAUCAGAAAUCCUCCAACCAGAAUGGAGAACCUGGACAUUUGACAGCCCUAAACCUAUCCAACCCUUUCAGUGUGUAGUUGUUUCUG